AGUCUGGUGCCAGCAGCCGCGGUAAUUCCAGCUCCAAUAGCGUAUAUUAAAAUUGUUGCAGUUAAAAAGCUCGUAGUUGAAUUUCUGCUGCAUUGCAUUUUCUCCUAUACGAGUUUUUGCAUUGUGGCUUAUUUCGGUUAUAAAAUUAUUUUUAUUUCCGGAUGUUUACUUUGAGAAAAUUAGAGUGCUCAAAGCAGGCUUUUGCCUUGAAUAGUUUAGCAUGGAAUAAUAAAGUAGGACUUUGGUUCUAUUUUGUUGGUUUUAGGUACCAAAGUAAUGGUUAAUAGGAACAGUUGGGGGCAUUCGUAUUUAACUGUCAGAGGUGAAAUUCUUAGAUUUGUUAAAGACGAACUACUGCGAAAGCAUUUGCCAAGGAUGUUUUCAUUAAUCAAGAACGAAAGUUAGGGGAUCGAAGACGAUCAGAUACCGUCGU
rnacentral:rRNA from 1 species